GCCGGAAUGGCGGAAGUGGCAGACGCAGCAGACUUAAAAUCUGCUGGAGCGGUAUCGCUCCGUGCGGGUUCGAAUCCCGCUUCCGGCA
rnacentral:tRNA from 1 species